GGAUUGUGGCACAGUGGCAGAGCGCUUGCCUAGCAUGUGUGAGGCACUGGGUUCGAUUCUCAGCACCA
rnacentral:tRNA from 1 species